GACGAACGCUGGCGGCGUGCUUAACACAUGCAAGUCGAACGAAAAGGCCCUGCUUUUGUGGGGUGCUCGAGUGGCGAACGGGUGAGUAACACGUGAGUAACCUGCCCUUGACUUUGGGAUAACUUCAGGAAACCGGGGCUAAUACCGGAUAGGAGCUCCUGCUGCAUGGUGGGGGUUGGAAAGUUUCGGCGGUUGGGGAUGGACUCGCGGCUUAUCAGCUUGUUGGUGGGGUAGUGGCUUACCAAGGCUUUGACGGGUAGCCGGCCUGAGAGGGUGACCGGCCACAUUGGGACUGAGAUACGGCCCAGACUCCUACGGGAGGCAGCAGUGGGGAAUAUUGCACAAUGGGCGGAAGCCUGAUGCAGCAACGCCGCGUGCGGGAUGACGGCCUUCGGGUUGUAAACCGCUUUCGCCUGUGACGAAGCGUGAGUGACGGUAAUGGGUAAAGAAGCACCGGCUAACUACGUG
rnacentral:rRNA from 1 species